rnacentral:rRNA from 1 species
GAUGAACGCUGGCGGCGUGCCUAAUACAUGCAAGUCGAGCGAACAGACGAGGAGCUUGCUCCUCUGACGUUAGCGGCGGACGGGUGAGUAACACGUGGAUAACCUACCUAUAAGACUGGGAUAACUUCGGGAAACCGGAGCUAAUACCGGAUAAUAUAUUGAACCGCAUGGUUCAAUAGUGAAAGACGGUUUUGCUGUCACUUAUAGAUGGAUCCGCGCCGCAUUAGCUAGUUGGUAAGGUAACGGCUUACCAAGGCGACGAUGCGUAGCCGACCUGAGAGGGUGAUCGGCCACACGGGAACUGAGACACGGUCCAGACUCCUACGGGAGGCAGCAGUAGGGAAUCUUCCGCAAUGGGCGAAAGCCUGACGGAGCAACGCCGCGUGAGUGAUGAAGGUCUUCGGAUCGUAAAACUCUGUUAUUAGGGAAGAACAAAUGUGUAAGUAACUAUGCACGUCUUGACGGUACCUAAUCAGAAAGGCACGGCUAACUACGUA